rnacentral:lncRNA from 1 species
GUCAAAGCAAAGAAGUAAGUGAAAAGUGCCCCCCAAAUGAAAGUGGCGGCUGCUAUUCAACAAAUUGCCAACAAUGUAAAUUGAAAAUCCCAAGCUUAUCCGUAGCCCUCCAUGCUUCCUCUGUGUUAUCCAAAAUAAAGUCCAGAUGAUCCCCUUAUGUAACGGUAUCCUCCUCUUUUAGUGGCGGCUCCUAUCUUAGGAAUAUACCUAGGGUUGUGUGUCUCUCCUCAACUGUACGUGUUGCUCAAGUGUGUGUGAUUUAAUGUUGGACAGACCAAAUCUGCUGUUGGACCUGUUUUUGCACCCCCGUAGAUGUGUUGGAGGCUUCUUCAAUUGCUACGUGUUGCAGCCCUCUUUUACACGCUGCAUGAAGAAAAUAAUGGGCUGCAGCUCUUCAAUCUGGACCAAGGUCGUGUGUGCUAACAACACCCUUUCCUCACGCUGCUAGACAUUGGCUUCUUUGCUGCCAGCGUGCUGCUUCUGCCACUUGGAUGCUAGACCACUUCAAUGUUGGACCGUGGAGGUGUUUGCUGAAUGAAGAAGCGUGUUAGCUCGUGUUGAAGAUGUGGAGCUGGACCAUGUGCGAGUGGCAGCUGUUGGAUGCUCAUUCUGGUGCAAGUCGUGACUUGUAAGCUGCCUGGGCCGUAGAGAUAUGGACUUGCUAUUGCAACAGCUGGGACGUCGCUGAAUGCUUCUAUGUGGACUGCUGCUGCUGAAGCUGGGACCUUGCUGUUUGCAACUCCAUGUGGGCCUGGGACGUGUUGCAUCUCAUAACAAUUGUACGUGGACGUGAAACUUGUAUGCUUCCUUGCUAGAUGAAGAAAUGAAUGGCCCAAACUGUGACAUCCCUCCAUGAGAUAUGAAAUCAGCGUUUUUUAUAUGCUGGACGAGAAAUAUCCUUGGGCCGUGGCAUAUUGCCAUUGUUCACCAAGCACACAAAAGAAAUGAAAUUGCAGCUUCUAAAGCCCAUCAUCAGCGCCUCUUUUAUUGAGUCCAUGUGCACCUCUUCCAGGUUGAAAUCAGCGCAUAACAUGGAUGUCACAAUUGCUAAUGCUCCAAUUUAAUUGAAUGUGCCCAUCCACCAAAGAAAGAAAAAUGAAGAGGAAUCACGUGCAAGUGUGGGCCGUAGUAUUGCUUUGCUC